rnacentral:rRNA from 1 species
AAGGUUAGCCAUGCAUGUCCAAGUAUAAAUCUGGUACAAGAUGAAACUGCGAAUGGCUCAUUAAAUCAGUUCUAGUUUCUUUGAUGGUGUCUUACUACAUGGAUAACCGUAGUAACAUAGAGCUAAUACGUGCUUCAAAUCCUGACUGGUGCUCUCGGGUGCCUGGAAUAGGAUGUAUUUAUUAGAUCCAAAACCAAUGCGUUGUCGCGUGCUUUCGGGUGCGUGGUGGCGGUUAUGUUGGUGAUUCAUGCUAACUUUUCGGAUCGCAUGGCCUUGCGCUGGCGAUGCUUCAUUCAAGUUUCUGCCCUAUCAACUGUCGAUGGUAGGGUAUUGGCCUACCAUGGUUGUAACGGGUGACGGAGAAUUAGGGUUCGGUUCCGGAGAGGGAGCCUGAGAAAUGGCUACCACAUCUAUGGAUGGCAGCAGGCGCGCAAAUUACCCAAUCCCGACCUGGGGAGGUAGUGACAAUAAAUAACAAUGCGGUUCCAUCUUUGGUUCUGCAAUUGGAAUGAGAACAAUCUAAACACCUUAACGAGGAGCAAUUGGAGGGCAAGUCUGGUGCCAGCAGCCGCGGUAAUUCCAGCUCCAAUAGCGUAUAUUAAAGUUGUUGCAGUUAAAAAGCUCGUAGUUGGAUUUCGGAGCGGUCGGGUUGGUCCGCCCAGCGUGGUGUGCACUGGCCUUGGUGGUAUGGCUGGGGUUGCUUCUUUCACGAGGGGCUUCCUUUAGUCUGCCGCCCUUGUUGCGUGUACACGUAGCAGGUGACCGUUCUUCUCCCUCGGAGACGGAGUCUGUCCUUCACUGGAUGGGCUUUGGAUGCGAGGUGUUUACUUUGAAAAAAUUAGAGUGUUCAAAGCAGGCCUUAUCUUCGCUUGAAUACAUUAGCAUGGAAUAAUGGAAUAGGACUCUGUGCCUAUUUUGUUGGUUUGAAGGCAGAGAGUAAUGAUUAAUAGGGACAGUUGGGGGCAUUCGUAUUUAAUUGUCAGAGGUGAAAUUCUUGGAUUUCUGAAAGACGAACAACUGCGAAAGCAUUUGCCAAGGAUGUUUUCAUUAAUCAAGAACGAAAGUUAGGGGUUCGAAGACGAUCAGAUACCGUCGUAGUCCUAACCAUAAACAAUGCCGACUAGGGAUCAGCGUACGUUCGUUCUAUGGGACGUCGUUGGCACCUUACGA